rnacentral:rRNA from 1 species
GGCCUAACACGUGCGAGUCGAGCGGUAACAGGGGUAGCUUGCUACCCGCUGACAAGCGGCGGACGGGUGAGUAAUGCAUAGGAAUCUGCCCGGUAGUGGGGGAUAACCUGGGGAAACCCAGGCUAAUACCGCAUACGUCCUACGGGAGAAAGGGGGCUCCGGCUCCCGCUAUUGGAUGAGCCUAUGUCGGAUUAGCUAGUUGGUGAGGUAAUGGCUCACCAAGGCGACGAUCCGUAGCUGGUCUGAGAGGAUGAUCAGCCACAUCGGGACUGAGACACGGCCCGAACUCCUACGGGAGGCAGCAGUGGGGAAUAUUGGACAAUGGGCGAAAGCCUGAUCCAGCCAUGCCGCGUGUGUGAAGAAGGCCCUCGGGUUGUAAAGCACUUUCAGCGAGGAAGAACGCCUAGUGGUUAAUACCCACUAGGAAAGACAUCACUCGCAGAAGAAGCACCGGCUAACUCCGUGCCAGCAGCCGCGGUAAUACGGAGGGUGCAAGCGUUAAUCGGAAUUACUGGGCGUAAAGCGCGCGUAGGUGGCUUGAUAAGCCGGUUGUGAAAGCCCCGGGCUCAACCUGGGAACGGCAUCCGGAACUGUCAAGCUAGAGUGCAGGAGAGGAAGGUAGAAUUCCCGGUGUAGCGGUGAAAUGCGUAGAGAUCGGGAGGAAUACCAGUGGCGAAGGCGGCCUUCUGGACUGACACUGACACUGAGGUGCGAAAGCGUGGGUAGCAAACAGGAUUAGAUACCCUGGUAGUCCACGCCGUAAACGAUGUCGACCAGCCGUUGGGUGCCUAGCGCACUUUGUGGCGAAGUUAACGCGAUAAGUCGACCGCCUGGGGAGUACGGCCGCAAGGUUAAAACUCA